AGCGACGGAAUCAAUUCCGUAGCCAAUUUUGUCCUAAAUACAACUUAAGAGUUAUUUUAGGGCACAAUGGUGAAAACAAAAUCUGAAACACCUGCGGCCUUCUGUUGUCUUUCUCAUUGUCUCUCACCGGCAGGUCGCCUCCUCCUCCAGCUUGUCCCUCUCCGUCAGCUCGUCCCACUCCGAUAACUCAUUGAUUUCAGGAGGGAUAUCAAGAUAUAUUACAGCACUACACACAUACUCAAACUGAUGUUGAUGAAUGUCAAGCGUAUUACGUAAUUGCAAGAGGGGAAAUGAAGAGAAAAAUAUAUGCUCUUCUGUUAAUAAUGUUGAUGACGCUCAUGCAUCAAUUUUGAUGAUGACCAUCUCUCUGGCCGAGUAUUAGUUAGUUUUUUCAUGUUGUUGACUUAAUUGUUGGUGUUGUGGAUAUUUUGAACUUAAAUAUAUAAUUACAUGUAUGUGUUAUCUAUUUCGGACCUUGGUGAAUAUUGAUUUAUAAGAAUUUCAGUUAUUUCUAA